rnacentral:hammerhead_ribozyme from 1 species
AUCCAUCUGAAGAGUCCAAAAAAGACGAAACGCGCGUCCUGAAU